rnacentral:rRNA from 1 species
CCUUAUUAGAUAAAAACCCAAUGCCCUUCGGGGCUCCUUGGUGAUUCAUAAUAACUUAACGAAUCGCAUGGCCUUGUGCCGGCGAUGGUUCAUUCAAAUUUCUGCCCUAUCAACUUUCGAUGGUAGGAUAGUGGCCUACCAUGGUUUCAACGGGUAACGGGGAAUUAGGGUUCUAGUCCGGAGAGGGAGCCUGAGAAACGGCUGCCACAUCCAAGGAAGGCAGCAGGCGCGCAAAUUACCCAAUCCCGACACGGGGAGGUAGUGACAAUAAAUACUGAUACAGGGCUCUUUUGGGUCUUGUAAUUGGAAUGAGUACAAUUUAAAUCCCUUAACGAGGAACAAUUGGAGGGCAAGUCUGGUGCCAGCAGCCGCGGUAAUUCCAGCUCCAAUAGCGUAUAUUAAAGUUGUUGCAGUUAAAAAGCUCGUAGUUGAACCUUGAGCCUGGCUGGCCGGUCCGCCUCACCGCGUGCACUGGUCCGGCCGGGUUUUUCCUUCUGGGGAGCCGCAUGCCCUUCACUGGGUGUGUCGGGGAACCAGGACUUUUACUUUGAAAAAAUUAGAGUGUUCAAAGCAGGCCUAUGCUCGAAUACAUUAGCAUGGAAUAAUAGAAUAGGACGUGUGGUUCUAUUUUGUUGGUUUCUAGGACCGCCGUAAUGAUUAAUAGGGAUAGUCGGGGGCAUCAGUACUCAAUAGUCAGA